rnacentral:rRNA from 1 species
AGAGUUUGAUCCUGGCUCAGAUUGAACGCUGGCGGCAGGCCUAACACAUGCAAGUCGAGCGGUAGAGAGAAGCUUGCUUCUCUUGAGAGCGGCGGACGGGUGAGUAAUGCCUAGGAAUCUGCCUGGUAGUGGGGGAUAACGUUCGGAAACGGACGCUAAUACCGCAUACGUCCUACGGGAGAAAGCAGGGGACCUUCGGGCCUUGCGCUAUCAGAUGAGCCUAGGUCGGAUUAGCUAGUUGGUGGGGUAAUGGCUCACCAAGGCGACGAUCCGUAACUGGUCUGAGAGGAUGAUCAGUCACACUGGAACUGAGACACGGUCCAGACUCCUACGGGAGGCAGCAGUGGGGAAUAUUGGACAAUGGGCGAAAGCCUGAUCCAGCCAUGCCGCGUGUGUGAAGAAGGUCUUCGGAUUGUAAAGCACUUUAAGUUGGGAGGAAGGGUUGUAGAUUAAUACUCUGCAAUUUUGACGUUACCGACAGAAUAAGCACCGGCUAACUCUGUGCCAGCAGCCGCGGUAAUACAGAGGGUGCAAGCGUUAAUCGGAAUUACUGGGCGUAAAGCGCGCGUAGGUGGUUUGUUAAGUUGGAUGUGAAAUCCCCGGGCUCAACCUGGGAACUGCAUUCAAAACUGACUGACUAGAGUAUGGUAGAGGGUGGUGGAAUUUCCUGUGUAGCGGUGAAAUGCGUAGAUAUAGGAAGGAACACCAGUGGCGAAGGCGACCACCUGGACUAAUACUGACACUGAGGUGCGAAAGCGUGGGGAGCAAACAGGAUUAGAUACCCUGGUAGUCCACGCCGUAAACGAUGUCAACUAGCCGUUGGAAGCCUUGAGCUUUUAGUGGCGCAGCUAACGCAUUAAGUUGACCGC